GUUUUCCUACGGGAGGCAGCAGUGGGGAAUAUUGCACAAUGGGGGGAACCCUGAUGCAGCGACGCCGCGUGGGCGAGGAAGUAUUUCGGUAUGUAAAGCCCUAUCGGCAGGGAAGAAGAAAUGACGGUACCUGAAUAAGAAGCACCGGCUAAAUACGUGCCAGCAGCCGCGGUAAUACGUAUGGUGCAAGCGUUAUCCGGAUUUACUGGGUGUAAAGGGAGCGUAGACGGCAGUGCAAGUCUGAAGUGAAAGGCAAGGGCUCAACCCUUGGACUGCUUUGGAAACUGUGCUGCUGGAGUGUCGGG
rnacentral:rRNA from 1 species